rnacentral:rRNA from 1 species
CCUGUGCUGGGGGAUAACCUCGCGAAAGUGAGAACAAUACCCCAUGGGUCACUAUGCCUGGAACGGUUAGUGGCUGAAAGCUCCGGCGGCACAGGAUGGGUCUGCGGCGUAUCAGGUCGUAGGGGGUGUAACGUACCUCCUAGCCUUCGACGCGUACGGGUUGUGAGAGCAAUUGCCCGGAGAUGGAUUCUGAGACACGAAUCCAGGCCCUACGGGGCGCAGCAGGCGCGAAAACUUGACAAUGCGAGAAAUCGUGAUCAGGGGACUCCAGUUGGCUGGAUCAAAAGUCCAGUCUGAACCGACUUUAAAUCGGUCGGGUAAUAGGGGCGGGAAAGACCGGUGCCAGCCGCCGCGGUAAUACCGGCGCCCCAAGUGGUCGUCACUAUUAUUGGGCCUAAAACGUCCGUAGCCGGUUUGGUAAAUCCGUGGGUAAAUCAGACAGCCUAACUGUCUGAAUUCUGCGGGGACUGCCAGACUUGAGACCGGGAGAGGUGCGGGGUACUUGCGGGGUACCGGUAAAAUGGGAUCAUCCCGUAGAGACCACCUGUUGCGAAGGCGCCGCACUAGAACGGAUCUGACGGUCAGGGACGAAGCCUAGGGGCACGAACCGGAUUAGAUACCCGGGUAGUCCUAGGUGUAAACGCUGUGGACUUGGUGUCGGGGACCUUCUGAGGGUUUCCGGUGCCGGAGUGAAGAUGUUAAGUCCACUGCCUGGGGAG